CGCCACGAUAUUCGCUAUAAAACGUGACCACACAAACCUGUAGAGCCAGCGCCACAGCCUCUUUGACUCGACUCCAUCAAGACACUAAGGAACUUGGUCACAGGUGCAGCGGAAAUAUGGCGCGGUCAUCGUUACCGAUGGCCUUGUUCGCCGCGCUUCUGGCGUUGGAUGCUGUGAAGAGCAACCAGUUCUACUCGGUGUACUACAGCAUUCGACUGCUCGAGACUGACCGCGUCUACGGCUGCCUGCAAUGCUUCAAGAGGCCCUGCGUGAAAAGAGAGAUACUGGCACGGCCACUAGAGGGACUGCUGCAGUGCUGCCGCGCAUGCACUGUGGUCGGUCCCGGAAGAGAGUGUUCCGUUUAUCGUGAGCACGCAGCGAUAGUCUGCAACAAAGAACAUGUUUGUGACACCCACACGCAAACUUGUGUAAAAGAAAAACGUCGACGCUGACUGAGUCUAUAAUAUUAAAAAAACGUUCCACCAUCUCCCCGAAGGGGACCAUGGGGUGAUGCGGAGCAUGUCGGGGAAUUUCAACGGUGUUUUUAAACGACGAUGUUUACCGCUUUGCGGUGUCAACUUUGUGGUGAACCUUGUGUGUUAUUGCAAUGUUAGCUUGGUUCGUAACCAUGCAUCGCGUGAACGAUGUGUUGGAAACUUCCGCAA